CCUACGGGAGGCAGCAGUGAGGAAUAUUGGUCAAUGGACGAGAGUCUGAACCAGCCAAGUCGCGUGAAGGAAGACGGCCCUAUGAGUUGUAAACUUCUUUUGUACGGGGGUAAAUCGCGCCACGUGUGUCGGGUUGAGAGUACCUUACGAAUAAGGAUCGGCUAACUCCGUGCCAGCAGCCGCGGUAAUACGGAGGAUCCAAGCGUUAUCCGGAUUUAUUGGGUUUAAAGGGUGCGUAGGCGGUUCGAUAAGUUAGAGGUGAAAUCCCGGGGCUCAACACCGGCACUGCCUCUGAUACUGGCAGGCUAGAGUUCAGUUGCGGUAGGCGGAAUGUAUGGUGUAGCGGUGAAAUGCAUAGAGAUCACACAGAACCCCGAUUGCGAUGGCAGCUUACCAAACUACGACUGACGUUGAGGCACGAAAGUGUGGGUAGCAAACAGGAUUAGAUACCCCGGUAGUC
rnacentral:rRNA from 1 species